rnacentral:rRNA from 1 species
AACGAACGCUGGCGGCAUGCCUAACACAUGCAAGUCGAACGAUUGCCUUCGGGUGAUAGUGGCGCACGGGUGCGUAACGCGUGGGAAUCUGCCCUUAGGUUCGGAAUAACAGCUGGAAACGGCUGCUAAUACCGGAUGAUAUCGCGAGAUCAAAGAUUUAUCGCCUGAGGAUGAGCCCGCGUUGGAUUAGGUAGUUGGUGGGGUAAAGGCCUACCAAGCCGACGAUCCAUAGCUGGUCUGAGAGGAUGAUCAGCCACACUGGGACUGAGACACGGCCCAGACUCCUACGGGAGGCAGCAGUGGGGAAUAGUGGACAAUGGGCGCAAGCCUGAUCCAGCAAUGCCGCGUGAGUGAUGAAGGCCCUAGGGUUGUAAAGCUCUUUUACCCGGGAAGAUAAUGACGGUACCGGGAGAAUAAGCCCCGGCUAACUCCGUG